rfam:Schistosoma haematobium scaffold278_4, whole genome shotgun sequence.
GCACCGCAGAGGAGUCCCAUACUAGGACGAAACGGCCGUCCAGUAC